AUCACUUCUUGGCCUUUUGGUUAUGAUCAAGUGUAGUAUCUGUUCUCAUCAGUUUAAUAUCUGAUAUGUCCUCUAUCCGAGGACAAUAUAUUAAAUGGAUUUUUGGAGCUUGGAGUUGGAAUAGGAGCUUACUCUGUCCACUCCAUGCAUCAACCUGGUAUUGCAGUACUUCCAGGAAUGGUGCACCCCCU
rnacentral:snRNA from 1 species